AUCCGGCCAGUUGCGUGAGACGUU
rnacentral:siRNA from 1 species